rnacentral:rRNA from 1 species
GAUGAACGCUAGCUACAGGCUUAACACAUGCAAGUCGAGGGGAAACGAUAUUGGAAGCUUGCUUCCGAUAGGCGUCGACCGGCGCACGGGUGAGUAACGCGUAUCCAACCUGCCCAUCACUUGGGGAUAACCUUGCGAAAGUAAGACUAAUACCCAAUGACGUCUCUAGAAGACAUCUGAAGGAGAUUAAAGAUUUAUCGGUGAUGGAUGGGGAUGCGUCUGAUUAGCUUGUUGGCGGGGUAACGGCCCACCAAGGCGACGAUCAGUAGGGGUUCUGGGAGGAAGGUCCCCCACAGUGGAACUGAGACACGGGCCAAACUCCUACGGGAGGCAGCAGUGAGGAAUAUUGGUCAAUGGGCGAGAGCCUGAACCAGCCAAGUAGCGUGCAGGAAGACGGCCCUAUGGGUUGUAAACUGCUUUUAUAAGGGAAUAAAGUGGGAGUCGUGACUCCUUUUGCAUGUACCUUAUGAAUAAGGACCGGCUAAUUCCGUGCCAGCCGCCGCGGUAA